rnacentral:rRNA from 1 species
UACAGAGGGGGCAAGCGUUAUUCGGAAUUAUUGGGCGUAAAGCGCACGUAGGCGGCUUAGCAAGUCGGAUGUGAAAUCCCUCGGCUUAACCAAGGAAGUGCAUCCGAAACUGCUGAGCUUGAGGACUGGAGAGGAGACUGGAAUUUACGGUGUAGCGGUGAAAUGCGUAGAUAUCGUAAGGAAGACCAGUGGCGAAGGCGGGUCUCUGGACAGUUCCUGACGCUGAGGCACGAAGGUCAGGGGAGCAAACGGG